rnacentral:rRNA from 1 species
GAUUAACGCUGGCGGCGUGCAUAACACAUUCAGGUCGAACGGAGUGUAGAAAUACACUUAGUGGCGGACGGGUGAGUAACGCGUGAGCAAUCUACCUUCCAGUGAGGGAUAACAACCGGAAACAGUUGCUAAUACCUCAUGAAAUAGCAGCAUCGCAUGGUGCAACUAUCAAAGAUUUAUUGCUGGAAGAUGAGCUUGCGUCUGAUUAGAUAGUAGGCGGGGUAGCGGCCCACCUAGUCGACGAUCAGUAGCCGGACUGAGAGGGUGAACGGCCACAAGGGGACUGAGACGCGGCCCUU